CACUACAAGAAAAGAGAAUUUUUGUGAUAAAAUUAUUUAUCAUGAAAAUAUUUUCAUCGACAAUAAGAGUAUUUAUGAUGAAAAAACAAAUUUAUCAUAAAUAAUAAAAUAUUUAUGAUAAAAAUAAUUUUUCAUCAUAAAUAAUUUUAUAUUAAUGAUGGAAAAAAAAUUAAUUAUAAAUACUUAUUAUUUGUGAUGAUUAUUUUC
rnacentral:lncRNA from 1 species